CUGUGUGUGGCAGUCACUUUGUUGCAAUCCCUUUAGUGCUUGUCUUGCCUUAUCUUUUCCGUCUAAACCAAUGUCUCCGUCAGUACAAAGAUACCGGGGAGAAAACUUGUCUUUUGAAUGAUUGGAAGAUUAGGUGGUGGAGGAUCAGAUUAUAAACUUUUGUGCAGCAUGUGGGAAUUCCAUCAAUUGAUAUAGCCUUUGGAGGAGGUACAUAAUACAUUAAUUUAAUCACUAAGAUUCGGAUGCGUUAAUAAUACUCUCUCUGCAUUAAUAAUAUUGACUCUUUGUGCCAGAAUUUCUUGUGCCAAAAGGGAAGCAUCAGUGAGAAUUUCUUUGUGCCAGAAUUUCUUGUAUAUCAAGAAUGUUGUUGUAUCAUCAAACUUAACUCCUUGAGGCACCAAAUUUAAGAGAACAGUGGUUUUCUCUAGUUGAUGAUUUGCUGCAUUAGCUCCAACAAUGCGAACCUGGUUGCGACUCAACAAAAGACUGGCUGCAAUUUCCUCAGCUAACUUGAAAACCAAAGGGAAGAACUUGUAUAUUGCAAUGCUGAUGUGGAGUUUAACUUGAAGUGGCCACACAACCACAAGGAGAUCCAGGAGGUGUAUUUGUCAAUGGCUCUGAGCAAGUCACCAUCAUGCAAUCUAAAAGAAAUAGAAUCAAUAUAAAAUCUUGUUUGUUUAAAUUGUUGAAAAUGAAGGAACUAGUAGUGUCAAUGAGUAAUGUAAAUAGUUAUAGUUCUGUCAAUGGUUUAUUUUUUUGGGUAUCUUUUUAUUGAGAUAGUGAGAUAUUGGCCAAUGAUGUUGAAA